rfam:Flavobacterium johnsoniae TW101, complete genome.
AAUGCGGAAGCCGAAAAGCAAAAGAGUAGGCG